GUCAAACGUCCGGGGGCCCUGUGUGAUCGCCACAGUAAGUAAGAUCUGCACAAAACCAGGAACCUCAGAAUAUUUGGGAUUGCUAUCAUAAGGCCAAUGGUGUUUGCUUACCUCGAGGUUGUCCCAAUAAUUCUAAAAAGAUUGGAAGGUGUACUCCUAGAAUUCCAUGUUGCGACCGGUAAUUUCAGCUUACCAAAAGACGGGAGGAGUGAUAGAUGCCUUUGAAAAGUGGAAGAUGCUCCCUCUCUUUGAGAGCCGCUGGAUCCCGCUUCAUCCCCAGUUAGGGACUUCUUCUCCAAAGCAUCCAGAUUGAAAAAGCAACAUUUUCAAGGCUUACCUGAGCUUGUGCCUUGCAAUAAAAGCAGAUCC